rnacentral:lncRNA from 1 species
GUUAUAAAUUUCAGCCUAAAUAUUAAUUUUUGCAAAUAGUCCAUCUUUACCUUAGAUUGGAUUUAGGAAAAUGCUGUUAUUCUGGAAAUACUAUAAAGGGAUAAUAAAAAUUUAGUAUGUACCCUCACCAGUUCAUGUUUCAGAAGAGGAAAUAUUGCAGAAAUUUUUCAGUAGCGUAUUAGUGGAUGACAAUGCCAAACUUGCUCUUAGAAUGUCUUGUAAAAUGUUCAUAUAACAAAAUGACAUUUGGUAGCCAGGCAUUGCAUCUACUUUGGUGUUUAUUUGCCAUCAAUUUUACUGACUACUAAUACUAGGGAAGGACU